rnacentral:lncRNA from 1 species
GCAAAGAAAACUGAUCUAACAAAAUAUUUCUAUUCCCAGAACAAUAUACAGGAAACUAGAGAGUAAUCUCUCAGCAAAAAUCCAUCUGGCUUUGGCAGGUUAGGGGACCGGUACAGUAAUACUCAAAAUCCCCAAGAGAAACGCAUUGUUCCCUCACAUUUGAAGUAGCUGCCAAGCAACCCACGAAGGGCACUAGCCAAAGAGAGACUAGAUAAGGCUUGUCUGGAAAGAAUGCUUGGGUGCAAAGACCAGCAGGAGUGGGAAAUGGAGUGGAAGAAAAUAAUACAGUAAUCAAGCCUUGAAUCUAAACCCAGAAAAGCUGAAAGGUGGAUCCCCUUUCCCCCACCCACUUCCUCCUAAUGGAUUUCCUUUUCUUCCUCUCUCAGUUAUUUUAUAGAAAUCCCUUUUGGAGAAACAUCCUAAGCCAUUUGUGGAAACUACCUGGAGCUCCCUGGAUACUGACAAAGAGAACAGCAUUUGUUUACAUUGGAUUCCAACAAUGGCACAUGAAGGACAAAUGGCAAAGAGCCUAGUCCUGCAUAUUAUGACUCAAAACAUCCUCUACCUGUACUCAAAAGAGUGCCAAGAAAGCAGAUUUUUAGUUUUGUUUUGACUGGAGGUGGUGCCUGACUGAUCUUUAGUUUAUAAUCAAGUCUCAGAGGAACAGGGGCAUGAAAUACCUCAAAGAGCAUAGAAUCAUAGAUUUAGAGUUGGAGGGGACCUUAGAAGUCAUCAAGUCUAAACAUCUCAUUUUACAAACAAGGAAACUGAGAUUCAGCGAUAAAAGAACUUAGCCAAGUUCACACAGGAAAGCAGAGACAGAAUUUGAACCCAUGACUCACGAUUCUCAAUUCAUCAGACUUUCUGCUAUAUCUUACUAAACAGAAGAUGGGGAGGGGCAGCAGGAAUAGUUCGCUCUGUCACUCUCUCCUCUGAGACUAGAUUUUUCCUUUUCAAGAUUGAAAUAUGAUAGAUGAUUGAAAACUGCCCUCCAUUCAACAUUUAACACGGUGCCAGUUAGGUAAAUGACUAAUGAACAGACAGAAAGGCUACAUAUAAAAUAAUUCAACCUGGGCUCUUCUAAGGUCUCACAAUCUUAGCACAUAAAAGGUGUUUAAUAAAUACUUGGGGAUUGGAGUCUGUGAUCUGUGA